rnacentral:siRNA from 1 species
CAAAGGCACGUGUCGUUGGCU